UACCACGGUAUGAUUCAUGACUGGGGUGAAGUCGUAACAAGGUAACCGUAGGGGAACCUGCGGUUGGAUCACCUCCUUA
rnacentral:rRNA from 1 species